rnacentral:rRNA from 1 species
UACAGAGGGUGCAAGCGUUAAUCGGAAUUACUGGGCGUAAAGCGUGCGUAGACGGUUACAUAAGUCGGGUGUGAAAGCCCCGGGCUCAACCUGGGAAUUGCAUUCGAGACUGCGUAGCUAGGGUGCGGAAGAGGGAAGCGGAAUUUCCGGUGUAGCGGUGAAAUGCGCAGAUAUCAGGAGGAACACCAAUUGCGAAGGCAGCUCGCUGGAACGUUACUGACGCUGAGACGCGAAAGCGUGGGGAGCAAACAGG